GAACGCGAGACUCACUGUUAUCGUUUUCUACAUAACAGUUGAGUGUCGUGAUUCCA
rnacentral:pre_miRNA from 1 species